rnacentral:rRNA from 1 species
CUCGUAGGCGGUUUGUCACGUCGGGAGUGAAAACACGGAGCUUAACUCCGUGCCUGCUUCCGAUACGGGCUGACUAGAGGUAUGCAGGGGAGAACGGAAUUCCUGGUGUAGCGGUGAAAUGCGCAGAUAUCAGGAGGAACACCGGUGGCGAAGGCGGUUCUCUGGGCAUUACCUGACGCUGAGGAGCGAAAGUGUGGGGAGCGAACA